UCAAGGCCUCAACUACAUGUGCACACGAUCGACAUAUGAUGACUUAGAAAAACUCGGCUGGGAUCAAAGAAUACUUCAAGAACUCUAAAACAGCAAGAUUGGGUAUGUUACAAGUAGCAAUUUUGUGCCAUCAUGUGAUUCAAAUUCAAACUCAUCCUUGCCAAAUGUUAUAUUUACACGAUAAGAAUAGUCUUCUAAGAUCUUUAAAUUCUCACCCUUUUUUUUUCAAGAUUCAAAAAUCAAAUCUCAAACAGUAACCAUCUAGAUUUCGGUGUGAGUGUGGAGAUAAUAAAGGCACACAUCAAGUUGUAUAUUAGAAGGGAAGGAUCCAAUGCUACUAAUCAAGGGACGAGCUUUGGCGGUUUGCUGGGAAAAAUCAUGGCUGAAAUUGAGAUGUGUGCUCCCUCUUUUUCAGCUAUAAAUAGAGAGGUUAAUUUAGAGAGAGCUAAACCAAGCAGCAAGAAGCAGCAAAACAUGUAGUAGAGCAGCUGUUUGGGCAGCAGUUGCAGUAGCAGCAGAGAGAGAAGUGUGAGGCAAUUACAGAGAUUUGGGAGUCGAGUCGAGUCGAGCAGUGGACCCAGCUAGCAGGGAUGUCUCAUUGGCUGGUCCUUUCCUCCCAAAGGAUGGGUUAAUCUUAAACAAAGCAAGGGCACAGCUUCUGCUGGUGGCGUUUCUACGUGAUGAGCAGGUUGUGUGGAUCAGAGACUUCUCCUUUCACACUGGUUUGUGUUCAGAUCAGUUGUGGGGGAUUGAUCUUAUUAGUCUUGAGAUGGCUUGGUGUGCGGGUCAUAGGAGAGUGCAGCUGGAGGUGGAUUCGAAGUUAGCUGUGGACAUAUUACUCCAGCAGAACUCGUUGGAUGGAGAUUAUGCUCUAUUCAAGCCAUGCUUCGCCAUCCUUGACAAGUUGAUCUCUCUCACUCACAUUUUUCGGGAAGCAAAUCGGGCAGCGGAUUGUUGAGCAUCAAUUGCUUAUUCUUCUGACAGAGGCAUUGUCUAUCACGAGGAAGCACAAUUGGGGUGCUCGAAGAUCUUGCUUGAGGAUAUUAGUGGCGUCACAAGGCCUGUAUUGUGUAGUAUUUAACUCUUUCUGGAGCCUAGCUCUCCUUGUAUUCAUAAAACAAUCCUCUUAAAAUAUUAUUUUUUGUAGGUUUAAUCCGAGACUCUGUUUUUACACUUAUCAUAUAUCAAAUGUGGAGUCUUUGAUUCAAAUAAUUCGAAGCCCACCAAUCCAGCAUUGAAACAAUGCGUGGCGGGGUUCUAAUUAACGUUUAAAACUCUAAACACUAUCGUUUAGAGAUUCAAUGAGACGCAGUUUGUUCCCUCAA